UCCUCCCAGUAAUUCCCCAUUGGAACAACAGGAAUAGGAAUACUGAGUGAGCCCCACCGUGGGUAUUGCUGCUUGGAAGCAGCGACGCCGCCUCAGCUGCUCCCGCUUCCUCAGGCGGCCGCCGGAGCUGUGGCAGCGCCGGGCGGUCCCGCGGCCAGCAGGGAGCUCCAGCGCCCGCCCGAGGCCUCUGCGGCGGGGGCGGAGGGGAAGCCCUGCCCCGUUCUCCGCUCCCUUCCCCGCCCCAUCCCGGGGCCGUGUCCCGGUCCCGUGUCCCGGCGCGGGGACUCGCGGCCUCAAGGGACACGGCCCGAGCCGCCACGUCACCGCCCAACGCGCUCCUCGAAUGCCCCUGGAAAUGCAGGCGGGGGAAGCCGCCCGGAUGCGUUAGGCCUGUGCAGACAGGCUGUCGGGAUCCUUUCCCGCAGGCUUUUCCAGCCCCGACGGAAUGAAGACCUGGACAGCCCGGUCUGACCUAAUGGCUGAACCUGCCCGGAGCCAGUGGCUGGACCGGAGGCCUCCCGGGGCCCCUUUCCCACAGAAUUAUCCUGUGAUCCUGUGACACCGGAUUACAAACCCUCCUUCCAGUUUGAGCUGUGCCACCACCCUGGCUGGGUGCUGCUGGAGCUCUGUUAGCAGGUGACAUGAGCAGGACUGGCUGAAAAAGCCAUUCCUCUUUGAGCUGUCUGGGGAUCCAAGACCUUCCUGUUCCACAUGGGGAUGGGGACGGGGAUUAACCUACCCAUUCUAGUAGCAGCUGGGGGGGCAGAGGUGGGAGACAGACUCUGAGACAUAUGACCAGGGGACUCGGUCUCCCCACAGACACAUGAACAUUCCCAUUGAAAGUUUCAAUUUCAACAAAAUACUGGUAUUUGCCAACAACAAACGCCUCAACGGCAAGUUCCCAGCCAGCUCUCAGUCCCAAAGUGCACGUCCCUGGGACACCGGCACUGACGGGAAGGCUGAGGAGCCACCUCCUCCUCCAGCUGUGCCUGACCCCGAGGUGCUCUCUCCCGCCGGCUCCAUCCCGCAGUCCCUGGCACGAGGACGGGGAUUGGCUCCGUCAGCCACCGCACCCAACAUUCCUGCCGCUACACCCCGUCCAUGGGCUGCACCGAGAGGAGUGACUGCAGCCAGGGGACUGGGGACAAGACGGACAGACAGCCCUCAACAUCCAGAUAGCUGGGGACUGGAAGGUGUAACAGCGGCGGCAGCUGCCACGCUGCUUUAAGGCUGGGUACCCCCUGCGCUCCCCUGAGUUCAGGUUUCCUUUCUCCCUGUGGAGCCGCUGCCAGCCCCAGCCCUGCCCGCGUGGCAGGCACGGGUGCGUGCGGAGCCGGCCGGCCCUCCCUGCUGCAGAGCCAGCGGCAGCUGGGCCUCACCUCCCUUAACCCCGCCAGCCGAAAUCAGUACAGCUGAAAUUUUCCACUUGAGACGCACACAAGACCAGAAUAGAUUUCCAGGGUAUUCUUUUUUUCCCCCCACUAGCUAGAGGAAGACCGGGACACACUUUGUAAUGUUUGCUUUUAGAACACCCUCCAGAAGGCUUUAGGGAGUCCCCACAGCAUGGACAGCCCCACAGGGAGAGCCCCUGAGGCUCCAGGGUGUCAAGGCUGGGGGCACUGGCUUGGCCACUACUGGCUUGGCCACUACUGCCUUGGCAGUCUCAGCCCUUCAUCCCUUGGGACCAUUGACCCAAGUUCUAUGGAGACACAGUGAAUUUUUCCACAGUGCUGCUGCAGCAGCUGUGGGGGCCAUGUGAGAUCCUGCAAGGGGUAUGGACAAGUUGGGGGUGCCUGGGCUGCCACAGGCUGGGGAAAGGCAGGAACAGAAGAGGGAUUCCCAGCUUCAGCUCAGCCCCCAAAGCAGCGUUUUAUUUGGUGGCUUGUGAUUAAAAAAAAAAACCCAAUCUGCAGAGCAAAGCUGGUUUAGCUUAGCGCAUUUAGCACGCUGUGCUUCUGCUUCUGCCAAAUCCAUUUUGCAACCUCCCUGGAGCAGGGGCUCUCCCACUGCUGGUGCUGCCAAACGGCUGGAGCCUCUUUCCAGUGGUGGCAGGCAGCCCACAGCCCCAGCCCUGCUGUGCCCAUGGCACACACUCACCUCCGUGGGCUGCUGCUGCUCUGCCUGCAUGGUUGGGGUGCAGCUGCUGUCCACUGAGCCUGAAGGCCUUGAAGGAUGACACCUGCUCGGGCAUUCCUGUGGGGUUCAGUCAUUUCAAACCUCCAACAAGGCUGUUAGCAAGUCAAGACGAGUCACUUGCAGCCUGGAAUCAAAAGGGCAGGCACAUAAAGCCCUGCAGCCCACUGCUCACACAUAGGUCUGGCUCCAGACCUCAGUGCUCAGGACUCAACCUGCAGGUGCCAUUCCCCUGGGGGCAGGCACAUAGGGCUGUGGCUCUGGGCACCAGCCCUGCACAGCCAUACAAAGCUGCUCCUGGCCCAAGCAGUCACUGGCAUCCACAGUGGAUGCAGUUUGAGCAGGAACAAAGUCCUGGCCCCUGUGUCUGGAGGAUGCCAGAGCUAGGGAAGUUUCAGAGGAGGUACCUCUGUCUCAUGUGCCAAGGGCCCCAACAUGCACUCACUGAAGACUAAAGCCCCCAGGAUGAGAUGGUGCAGGAAUUCAGGCAGCCACAUGCCGGGGCCCAGCACCGCAGCCACAGCCAAGCAGCCCAGCCAUCCAGGCACCCGUGUCCUCCACACCCACCAGCCAGAGCCAUGCACCUGCCAGGGCACAGCAGGAGACCACUUAGGACAUGACAGGGACAGCAGGAAGAGGAAAGAGGGGAUGUGGUGCCACUGGAGUACCCUGUCACACCACAGCCUCCCACAGUUCAUUAUGGCACCUUCCCCACCAGCAGCACUGGGUUUCCCAGUGGCACAGGCUCCCUGUGCCAUGGACAACCUGUCUGCCUGGCAUGCUGCUCUGGGCACGGAGAGGGCAUGGCUGGGCUCACUACACCUGCCUGUUCCCAUAUGAUCACAUUUUAUUUCUAUCUGUGAGCUUCUUUUGCCUUUCCAGUGACUACUUACAAUCCACCAAACUCAGACUGAUGUUGUGCCUUCAAGCUCCUGGGGUUUGUCUCAUACUGUAGCAACUUCACCUUAAAACAUGUUAUCUUGAAAGCU